UCUCCGUUGGUGAACCAGCGGAGGGAUCAUUACAGAGUAUUACACUCCCAAACCCAUGUGAACCUACCACUGUUGCUUCGGCGGGUUUCGCCCCGGGCGCCAUCGUGUGCCCCGGAACAAGGCGCCCGCCGGAGGACCCAAACUCUUGUUUUGCAAGUGGCAUUCUGAGUGGAUUAUACAAAUAAAUCAAAACUUUCAACAACGGAUCUCUUGGUUCUG
rnacentral:misc_RNA from 1 species